GACGUAGGGGACGAGCGUUGUCCGGAUUCAUUGGGCGUAAAGCGCGCGCAGGCGGUUCUUUAAGUCUGAUGUGAAAGCCCACGGCUCAACCGUGGAGGGUCAUUGGAAACUGGGGGACUUGAGUGCAGGAGAGAAGAGUGGAAUUCCACGUGUAGCGGUGAAAUGCGUAGAGAUGUGGAGGAACACCAGUGGCGAAGGCGACUCUUUGGCCUGUAAUUGACGCUGAGGCGCGAAAGCGUGGGAGCAAACAGG
rnacentral:rRNA from 1 species